ensembl:lncRNA
GAAAACAUUUCCACAGCCCUUAUCCUUUGCAUUAGAUGCUGAACUCCUGGCACUUUUUAAUACUUUUAUGACAAAAUUUUUAGUAAUCUUUGCUUCAUUGGUAGCUGGCUAGAGAAGUAAAUUUGCUGUCUUCUGUAUUUUUCUGAAGAGCGAAAGAGUCGUAACAAAUACUCUUUCAAAAUAUCUCCUUUCACUGAGUAACUAAAAGGCUGCUUCUAUUUUUCUUCUUCAUAUUGGAAACAAGAAAAUAGGUACAGCUCAGGUGGAGGUUUUCCCAGCACUGUUUCUUAUCUUGGACAUCUGGUUCGUCAUGCCUGAAGGAAACUCUAAGCAUAAGGCAAGCGCAGAAUGAUGUUUCCACUGAAAUUGAAUUCAGCAUCUAGGAAACUAUAUGAUGUGGGCACUUUCUGAGCAGGCCUUACUAUAAUCACUGAUCUGGAGCUUUGCCUGAAUGGAGUAAUGGUUGGUUGGACCUUAACAUGCUACACUAAGGUUUAUGCUAUGGAAAAAUGUUGCACUGAAUCAUCAGCACAUCUCUAUUCUGUAAUGCUGUGGGAGGUUGGUCUCUGCAAUUAUAUGGGCAAUCUGACCUUGCGGAGGUGGUUAGCUUAUCCUUCAGAUUGUUCAAUGCCCAACAGAAACAGAUGUGAUCCACAAGGAUUCCUGCCAGUACCGAUAGUGAGAAGCCCUUCUCCAUACCAACCUGCUUUAGAUAAACACUGUGUUUUUGACAGACAUCUAUAAACAAUUCUCCAUGAGGCAUUUUCAUUGCUUUGCAGAUAAGUACAUAUAGUUUGCUGUCUCUUAAAACUUAGCAGUUUCUGCAUCUAAGAAAACUGAUUUGUUUGUGCUUUUUUCUCCAUUUCCC